GAUGAACGCUAGCGGCAGGCUUAAUACAUGCAAGUCGAGGGGCAGCAGGUCUGUAGCAAUACAGAUGCUGGCGACCGGCAAACGGGUGCGGAACACGUACAGAACCUUCCUUCGAGCGGGGAAUAGCCCAGAGAAAUUUGGAUUAAUACCCCAUAGUAUAUUGGAGUGGCAUCACUUUGUACAUUAAAGUAUUUAUUCACUUGAAGAUGGCUGUGCGGCNGAUUAGGUAGUUGGCGGGGUAACGGGCCCACCAAGCCUGCGAUCAGUAACUGGUGUGAGAGCACGACCAGUCAC
rnacentral:rRNA from 1 species